rnacentral:rRNA from 1 species
GAAUUUAAUAUAAUAUUUAAUUAAUUAAUUAUUUUUUAUUUAUACAUUAUAUUUUAUUGGGAGGAUAGUUAAAUUUAUUAAACUUUAAAUUAUAUUAAAAACAUAAAUUAUUGAACAAUAGAAUAAUUUAAGUUUUUUAGUCAUUAAAUUAUUGAAAAAUUAAUUACCUUAGGGAUAACAGCGUAAUAUUUUUAGAAAGAUCACAUUAAUAUAAAUGAUUGC